rnacentral:rRNA from 1 species
CGAACGAUGAUGCCCAGCUUGCUGGGUGGAUUAGUGGCGAACGGGUGAGUAACACGUGAGUAACCUGCCCCUGACUCUGGGAUAAGCGUUGGAAACGACGUCUAAUACUGGAUAUGACUGCCGGCCGCAUGGUCUGGUGGUGGAAAGAUUUUUUGGUUGGGGAUGGACUCGCGGCCUAUCAGCUUGUUGGUGAGGUAAUGGCUCACCAAGGCGACGACGGGUAGCCGGCCUGAGAGGGUGACCGGCCACACUGGGACUGAGACACGGCCCAGACUCCUACGGGAGGCAGCAGUGGGGAAUAUUGCACAAUGGGCGAAAGCCUGAUGCAGCAACGCCGCGUGAGGGAUGACGGCCUUCGGGUUGUAAACCUCUUUUAGUAGGGAAGAAGCGAAAGUGACGGUACCUGCAGAAAAAGCACCGGCUAACUACGUGCCAGCAGCCGCGGUAAUACGUAGGGUGCAAGCGUUGUCCGGAAUUAUUGGGCGUAAAGAGCUCGUAGGCGGUUUGUCGCGUCUGCUGUGAAAUCCCGAGGCUCAACCUCGGGCUUGCAGUGGGUACGGGCAGACUAGAGUGCGGUAGGGGAGAUUGGAAUUCCUGGUGUAGCGGUGGAAUGCGCAGAUAUCAGGAGGAACACCGAUGGCGAAGGCAGAUCUCUGGGCCGUAACUGACGCUGAGGAGCGAAAGCGUGGGGAGCGAACAGGAUUAGAUACCCUGGUAGUCCACGCCGUAAACGUUGGGCGCUAGAUGUAGGGACCUUUCCACGGUUUCUGUGUCGUAGCUAACGCAUUAAGCGCCCCGCCUGGGGAGUACGGCCGCAAGGCUAAAACUCAAAGGAAUUGACGGGGGCCCGCACAAGCGGCGGAGCAUGCGGAUUAAUUCGAUGCAACGCGAAGAACCUUACCAAGGCUUGACAUACACCGGAAACGGCCAGAGAUGGUCGCCCCCUUGUGGUCGGUGUACAGGUGGUGCAUGGUUGUCGUCAGCUCGUGUCGUGAGAUGUUGGGUUAAGUCCCGCAACGAGCGCAACCCUCGUUCUAUGUUGCCAGCGCGUUAUGGCGGGGACUCAUAGGAGACUGCCGGGGUCAACUCGGAGGAAGGUGGGGAUGACGUCAAAUCAUCAUGCCCCUUAUGUCUUGGGCUUCACGCAUGCUACAAUGGCCGGUACAAAGGGCUGCGAUACCGUAAGGUGGAGCGAAUCCCAAAAAGCCGGUCUCAGUUCGGAUUGAGGUCUGCAACUCGACCUCAUGAAGUCGGAGUCGCUAGUAAUCGCAGAUCAGCAACGCUGCGGUGAAUACGUUCCCGGGCCUUGUACACACCGCCCGUCAAGUCAUGAAAGUCGGUAACACCCGAAGCCGGUGGCCUAACCC